CCCUUAGAUGUUCUGGGCCGCACGCGCGCUACACUGACAGGGCCAACGAGUUCAUCACCUUGGCCGGAAGGUCUGGGUAAUCUUGUUAAACCCUGUCGUGCUGGGGAUAGAGCAUUGCAAUUAUUGCUCUUCAACGAGGAAUGCCUAGUAAGCGCAUGUCAUCAGCAUGCGUUGAUUACGUCCCUGCCCUUUGUACACACCGCCCGUCGCUACUACCGAUUGAAUGGCUCAGUGAGGCCUUCGGACUGGCCCAGGGAGGUCGGCAACGACCACCCAGGGCCGGAAAGUUGGUCAAACUCGGUCAUUUAGAGGAAGUAAAAGUCGUAACA
rnacentral:rRNA from 1 species